rnacentral:rRNA from 1 species
GCUUACGGCCAUACCAACCUGGCUAUGCCAGAUCUCGUCUGAUCUCAGAAGCUAAGCAGGUUUGGGCCUUGUUAGUACUUGGAUGGGAGACCGCCUGGGAAUACCAGGUGCUGUAAGCU